rnacentral:rRNA from 1 species
AAUCAACGCUGGCGGCGUGCCUCAGACAUGCAAGUCGAACGAUUAAAGCUCUCUUCGGAGAGUGCAUAGAGUGGCGCACGGGUGAGUAACACGUAAGUAAUCUACCUUCGAGUGGGGAAUAACGUCCGGAAACGGACGCUAAUACCGCAUAAUGCAGCGGCAUCGUAAGAUGACAGUUGUUAAAGAUUUAUCGCUUGAAGAGGAGCUUGCGGCAGAUUAGCUAGUUGGUAAGGUAAUGGCUUACCAAGGCUACGAUCUGUAACCGGUCUUAGAGGACGGUCGGUCACACUGACACUGAAUAACGGGUCAGACUCCUACGGGAGGCAGCAGUCGGGAAUUUUGGGCAAUGGGCGAAAGCCUGACCCAGCAACGCCGCGUGAAGGAUGAAGUAUUUCGGUAUGUAAACUUCGUAAGAAUAGGAAGAAUAAAUGACGGUACUAUUUGUAAGGUCCGGCUAACUACGUGCCAGCAGCCGCGGUAAU